rnacentral:lncRNA from 1 species
AAAACUGCCUAAUGGCUGGUUGCUAGGUGACUCUCACUGUGCCUGAGAGCCAUGGGUGCUCACCCUCCUGCCCGUGGCUGGCCCAGCUGAGCAGCAGUGCAGUGCAGCCCCCACCCAUGCAAGACAAGUCAUACAGUGCACCUUUGGUGUUCUGAGCGGGACAAAGCAUAUCCAUCCGGCAUGGCAUUGAGAGCAAUAGUAAUGAUGUAUUACGGGAUCAGGCGCCCACUGUCAUCUAAUUGUACAGCGUAUCUCGGACAAAACGCACAAGGCCAACAAGUAGACAGCGACUACCAGUGACUGUGUCCUGCUGUUCAAAGUGCACGUCAACAGACAGAAUGCAUUGGUUAUCUGGAACAGUUUGCAUUGUAUGGUGAAAAUCUGCACAGCUGCAGUUUAAUUGUUGAGCAGUGCAUCAUUCAGUAAUUCCUUGCACUUGAGGAUUCAAAAUUAAUUAAAAUCUGCAUUUAAUAUACGAAACCUUGACAUUAAUGUAAAGCACACUGUAGUGGUAAUGUGGAAAUUAAUUUC